UACGGGAGGAGCAAGCGUUGUUCGGAUUUACUGGGCGUAAAGGGCGCGUAGGCGGUCAGCACAAGUCAGUUGUGAAAUCUCCGGGCUUAACUCGGAAAGGUCAACUGAUACUGUGCGACUAGAGUGCAGAAGGGGCAACUGGAAUUCUCGGUGUAGCAGUGAAAUGCGUAGAUAUCGAGAGGAAUACCAACGGCGAAGGCAGGUCACUGGGCAGUUACUGACACUGAGGCACGAAGGCCAGGGGAGCAAACGGG
rnacentral:rRNA from 1 species